CCUUAGAGUUUGAUCCUGGCUCAGGACGAACGCUGGCGGCGUGCUUAACACAUGCAAGUCGAGCGGUAAGGCCUUUCGGGGUACACGAGCGGCGAACGGGUGAGUAACACGUGGGUGACCUGCCCCCUACUCUGGGAUAAGCCUGGGAAACUGGGUCUAAUACCGGAUAUGACACAGUCUUGCAUGGGGUUGUGUGGAAAGUUUUUUCGGUGGGGGAUGGGCCCGCGGCCUAUCAGCUUGUUGGUGGGGUGAUGGCCUACCAAGGCGACGACGGGUAGCCGGCCUGAGAGGGCGACCGGCCACACUGGGACUGAGACACGGCCCAGACUCCUACGGGAGGCAGCAGUGGGGAAUAUUGCGCAAUGGGCGGAAGCCUGACGCAGCGACGCCGCGUGGGGGAUGACGGCCUUCGGGUUGUAAACCUCUUUCGACUUCGACGAAGCCUUCGGGUGACGGUAGGGGUGGAAGAAGCACCGGCCAACUACGUGCCAGCAGCCGCGGUAACACGUAGGGUGCGAGCGUUGUCCGGAAUUAUUGGGCGUAAAGAGCUCGUAGGCGGUGUGUCGCGUCGGCCGUGGAAACCUGCAGCUUAACUGUGGGCUUGCGGUCGAUACGGGCAUCACUGGAGUUCGGCAGGGGAGACUGGAAUUCCUGGUGUAGCGGUGAAAUGCGCAGAUAUCAGGAGGAACACCGGUGGCGAAGGCGGGUCUCUGGGCCGAUACUGACGCUGAGGAGCGAAAGCGUGGGGAGCGAACAGGAUUAGAUACCCUGGUAGUCCACGCCGUAAACGUUGGGCGCUAGGUGUGGGGGCCAUUCCACGGUCUCUGUGCCGUAGCUAACGCAUUAAGCGCCCCGCCUGGGGAGUACGGCCGCAAGGCU
rnacentral:rRNA from 1 species